AGGUUCUCCUUUCCUUUGCAG
rnacentral:miRNA from 1 species